UUUUUUAAUAAAUUUUUGCUCCACGCGAGAAAGAUGCUUUCGACAUCGUAUGCAAAAGUUAUAGCCGUUUUACUUUUUCAUAAGACUUUUUUGCAAAACAUGUCAAAAUUUAUGUUUUUGAAUUUUCCUAACUAAUAGAUGUAGUAACAUAAAUACAUCUCGAAGGAUUUUAAUUUUUGAAGUUUUUAUCAUUUUCUUUUCUUUUUUUCAAAACUAAAAUGGCGAUAGGGAGGGGCAGAAUAAUGGACGAAGGCGGGGGUAACAUGUCGGAUGCCGAUCAUACCAGCACUAAAGCACCGGAUCAUGCCGAUCAUACCAGCACUAAAGCACCGGAUCCCAUCAGAACUCCGAAGUUAAGCGUGCUUGGGCGAGAGUAGUACUAGGAUGGGUGACCUCCUGGGAAGUCCUCGUGUUGCAUUCC
rnacentral:rRNA from 1 species